UACGUAGGGUGCAAGCGUUUAAUCGGAAUUACUGGGCGUAAAGCGUGCGCAGGCGGUUUUGUAAGUCUGUCGUGAAAUCCCCCGGGCUCAACCUGGGAAUUGCGAUGGAGACUGCAAGGCUAGAAUCUGGCAGAGGGGGGGUAGAAUUCCACGUGUAGCAGUGAAAUGCGUAGAGAUGUGGAGGAACACCGAUGGCGAAGGCAGCCCCCUGGGUCAAGAUUGACGCUCAUGCACGAAAGCGUGGGGAGCAAACGGG
rnacentral:rRNA from 1 species